rnacentral:sRNA from 1 species
UUGAAACAAUCGCUGAAUUUUCCAAUAACGGGAAAACGGGGGAACCAACUGCGGUGAAGAUUUUUCAUCGCUUGGGGUGAAUCGGCACACAAUGCCGUAGGGCGAUCUAGACGCCCGAAUCCGUCAGCUAACCUCGUAAGCGUCUUUAGAGAGGGUGA